rnacentral:rRNA from 1 species
UAGGGAAUCUUCCACAAUGGACGAAAGUCUGAUGGAGCAACGCCGCGUGAGUGAUGAAGAGUUUCGGCUCGUAAAACUCUGUUGUUGGAGAAGAACAGGUGUGAGAGUAACUGUUCACAUCUUGACGGUAUCCAACCAGAAAGCCACGGCUAACUACGUGCCAGCAGCCGCGGUAAUACGUAGGUGGCAAGCGUUGUCCGGAUUUAUUGGGCGUAAAGCGAGCGCAGGCGGUUUCUUAGGUCUGAUGUGAAAGCCUUCGGCUUAACCGGAGAAGUGCAUCGGAAACCAGGAGACUUGAGUGCAGAAGAGGACAGUGGAACUCCAUGUGUAGCGGUGAAAUGCGUAGAUAUAUGGAAGAACACCAGUGGCGAAGGCGGCUGUCUGGUCUGUAACUGACGCUGAGGCUCGAAAGCAUGGGUAGCGAACAGGAUUAGAUACCCUGGUAGUCCAUGCCGUAAACGAUGAGUGCUAAGUGUUGGAGGUUUCCG